ACGCAUACAUAUUAGUAGUAGGGACUGUGCCUAAGUCCUGUGUGUUAAUGAACCUGCGACUUCCUACAGAACACACUGUCGCUGAUGUCUCAAUGCCUGCCUCUGAAUAACUUCCCCCAUCACACUGACAUUAUGAACACCUGGCCUGUAGGCCUAUAAUGUUAUAGUUCAUGCAAUUAGUUAAAACAACUGCAGGGCCAUGUGCACAAAGCAGGAGUGUGUGUGCUCCCAAGCCCAGGCACAUCAGAUUUCAGGCCAGGAAUGCAUCUAAGCUUAGGUUUUCAUUUGCCAAACGGGGUGGAGAGGAACCAUUUUAAUGUUUGACGUCUGACUGUUCACAGCUAUAUUAGACUUUCAGCCCCAACUAGCCUGGAAUGAACAUGAGUGUUUGCAACCAAAUCAUGGAACAUUUUAAAAUAAAAAUACUUUCAACUCACUUAUAAUUUCCCAUGCAUUUCUAUUUCAACAUGUUGUAUUGUGGGCAGUAGCAAGACCAUACUACACUUGUGUUAAGUAUUGCAACACUGGCUGGUACAAUCUGUGAAACUGCAGAUUAGACAAUAAAACAAAAUACGUUUGUGACACAAAUGCUUUCACUUGAUACUACUGCAGUAAUAGAACAUAUAGUUGUGUAACCUGUUGUCACAAUGGUGAUUAUAGACACAUUUGGAGAGGUUGGAGGUCAGUAGCCAUUUAUGCCUAUAUCCAUGUGUCAUUUUCUCUCACGCUACCUCAACCCCUAUGUCCUCAUCGCCCACCCACUGACAGGUCACAACAAGCCAUCUGGGAGUACAAUACAGGGAAAGAAUGUCACGAGACUCUUAAAUAUACAGUAACACUUCAUUUUAGACCACCGUUUCCACCUGGCGUUUAUUAGGACAAUUAGAAAUGGUGUCAUUGGGUAGUUUCUGGCAUUAAUUACAUGAAUUCAACACAAUUGGUAACCAACUAGCUGAUACAUGGAUUGGAGUGCUUGUUGUGAUGAUUCCCAAAGAAACAAAUAAAGAAUUCACAAGAUAUUGUCUUUACAUAAGAGAGUAAUUACCAUUUUACCAUGUAGAGUCAAAGUAAAUACUCUCUGUACCUAAGGGGAAUUGUGAAACAAAUUUUGAUAUGUAAAAUUGUUUUUUAAUGUUAAUUCUUAGGAUUAUACAUGGGUCAGUUACUAGAAUGAAUUCCACACCCACCUGUACCGUUUAAAUACAGUGCUAACCAGUAGUCUUGACCAGUAACAGUAUGUUGACCCACAUUUGAGAAAAAAGAACUGCUAUUCCCAGUGGACCUAACUGGGUCAUGUUCAUUAGGAACAAAACGGACUAAAACAGGACUUGUCUCAUAAGAAGCCCUCAUUUUCAUUUACCGUCGCGUGCUCUAAUGAACACAACCCCUGUGAGGGGAAAUGCCAACAGGGCUAGCCGA
rnacentral:lncRNA from 13 species